UCAGGCUGCGGGGCGAUGGGCGCCAUGUUGGGUGCCAUGUUGGGCGCUUCGUGCGUUGCCUCUGAGCGGUUUGCAGCGCUCCGACCCGGCUUCGAGGCUGUUGUGAAACAUCGCUACUCUGUGGCGAGGAAAAAGAGGCCUGUGCAUAUGUGGUGUGUGGCUGUGCGGCUCACCCGGGAAAGCCAAGUGUGUGUGUGGAACUGACAGAAAGCGGUGCUCGGUGUGUGGGAAGGAACCGAGCGCGGUUUGCUGUGAGGAGCAGCGCUGCUGCAAGGCCUGCACCACCACAACGAGAGAAAAUGUUGGAGCAGGCCAAGGGAAGGGCACAUGGUGUCCGACCUGUGAGAGCUGCGCUGUGUGUGUACAGCUGGGUCAAGGAGCUGCUGCAGUUGAUCGCCUCAGUGGCUGCCGUUAACCACAGCUCAUAGCCCUGAAAAGCUGCAAAUACACGGAGCGUUGUAGUGCAGGACAGGGAUCAGGCUGGGCUGGUUGCACAGUGAAGAACACGGAGGGCAGAGAGCUGCACAUGGAUUAAGGUCUCUGAAUUUACUGCCCUGCAAUCACCAACUUCCCACUCCACUGAGACGUCCCAGUAUGCACUGGGUUGUUGAUGUCAGUAACAUCACUGAUCGGCGCUGGAGCCGGGAAUCUGCCUAUGAGGAAAAGGGAGAAUGGCUGGACUCAGACUGCUGAUUUGAUUCCUCUAACACCCAGGACUUGGAUCACUGUCAUCAGAAUACUUCAGCCUCAUGCAGGACAGCUACUCUGUAGGAGUUAAACCUGAGCCACCCGUAGCCCUGGGUUGGUCACUCCUACUCAGGGUAGAAAUGCUGAGCUGUUCUGCGGUGCUACAUGGAUACUAGCAACGCUCAUUAUUUCAGUGUCUUGACCAAAUCCUAUUGUUCUAUACAGUGUAUUCUCAAUACAGCAAAUUCUCUUCAGCAGCAGCUGAAGAUGUUCAAAGUGCCAAGUUUUCCCCUUGUUCUGCUGUAACAGAAAAGCCUUGACUCAGCUUCCCAUGUGCACCCACAAGAACAUAAAUAACGGACAACCUGUCUGGUUCCUGUGAAAACCACUUAUCAAAAUCAAACAACUAAAAAGGACUGACCUUCAUACAUAUAUGAACACAAACAGAUGUGAAGAAAAGUUCUCCGGAUCUGUGUCAAAUUAAUAUAUAAGGAGAUCACAAUAAAAAUGAGAAGACAAUGAGAAAGACUCAUUUAACACAAUACAUGAGUGAAAAAUAAAGAGAAAUGCUUCUUA